rnacentral:rRNA from 1 species
UACGUACGAGGCAAGCGUUAUCCGGAAUUACUGGGCUUAAAGGGUGCGUAGGCGGCCAUGUAAGUAGGGUGUGAAAUCCCCCGGCUUAACCGGGGAACUGCGCCCUAAACUGUGUGGCUUGAGUGAGAUAGGGGUGUGUGGAACUUCCGGUGGAGCGGUGAAAUGUGUUGAUAUCGGAAGGAACGCCGGUGGCGAAAGCGACACACUGGGUCUCAACUGACGCUGAGGCACGAAAGCCAGGGGAGCGAACGGG